UACGUAGGGCGCAAGCGUUGUCCGGAAUCAUUGGGCGUAAAGCGCGCGUAGGUGGCUAUGUAAGUCCGCUGUGAAAGUCAAAGGCUCAACCUUUGAAAGCCGGUGGAUACUGCAUGGCUAGAGUACGGAAGAGGCGAGUGGAAUUCCUGGUGUAGCGGUGGAAUGCGCAGAUAUCAGGAGGAACACCAAUAGCGAAGGCAGCUCGCUGGGACGUUACUGACACUGAGGCGCGAAAGCGUGGGGAGCGAACAGG
rnacentral:rRNA from 1 species